rnacentral:lncRNA from 1 species
GCCGGGUCAUUUCCUGACACACUUGUUUGCCACAUGCUCCUUGCUUCUGUCUGCUUCUCUCUAGGUGCUUCCUCCGGGAAGUCUUCCAGGAUGCCCACUUUCUUCUGACUCCUUGUCCCUGGACUCUGGGCUGCUUCCCAUGUCUGGCCUCAGUUUACCCCCUACAAGCCUGAGAGCCCACAUGAUUACCACCUCUUUGCAAAUAAAGGAAGGGAGGCUGAGAGGAUCUCACUGCAUAGUUUAGACUGGCCUUGAAUUCACUAUGUCACCCAGGGAGGGCCUCAAACUCAAAAGCAAUCCUCCUGCCUCAGCUUC